GCCAGCAGCCAUAUCACUCUGCAACUCACAACUGGCAGCCCACUGAAGCUCAGCAGGUGUGAGCCUGGUCAGUACCCGGAUGGGAGACCUCCUGGGCAAGCUAAGGUUGCUGCUGGAA
rnacentral:rRNA from 1 species